rnacentral:ribozyme from 1 species
AAGUACUUCUCGCUCCACGUCAAGGCGAAGUCUUGACGGUCUGCCUCAGUAG